UCAUAAUAACUUAACGAAUCGCAUGGCCUUGUGCCGGCGAUGGUUCAUUCAAAUUUCUGCCCUAUCAACUUUCGAUGGUAGGAUAGUGGCCUACCAUGGUUUCAACGGGUAACGGGGAAUUAGGGUUCUAUUCCGGAGAGGGAGCCUGAGAAACGGCUACCACAUCCAAGGAAGGCAGCAGGCGCGCAAAUUACCCAAUCCCGACACGGGGAGGUAGUGACAAUAAAUACUGAUAUAGGGCUCUUUUGGGUCUUGUAAUUGGAAUGAGUACAAUUUAAAUCCCUUAACGAGGAACAAUUGGAGGGCAAGUCUGGUGCCAGCAGCCGCGGUAAUUCCAGCUCCAAUAGCGUAUAUUAAAGUUGUUGCAGUUAAAAAGCUCGUAGUUGAACCUUGGGCCUGGCUGAUCGGUCCGCCUCACCGCGUGCACUGGUUCGGCCGGGCCUUUCCUUCUGGGGAGCCGCAUGCCCUUCACUGGGUGUGUCGGGGAACCAGGACUUUUACUUUGAAAAAAUUAGAGUGUUCAAAGCAGGCCUAUGCUCGAAUACAUUAGCAUGGAAUAAUAGGAAUAGGACGUGUGGUUCUAUUUGUGGGUUUCUAGGACCGCGUAAUGAUUAAUAGGGAUAGUCGGGGCAUUAGUAUUU
rnacentral:rRNA from 1 species